CCUACGGGAGGCAGCAGUGAGGAAUAUUGGUCAAUGGGAGGAAUCCUGAACCAGCCAUGCCGCGUGCAGGACGACGGCUCUACGAGUUGUAAACUGCUUUUGUACCGGGGUAAAAUGCCUUACGAGUAGGGUUUUGAAAGUACGGUACGAAUAAGGAUCGGCUAACUCCGUGCCAGCAGCCGCGGUAAUACGGAGGAUGCGAGCGUUAUCCGGAUUUAUUGGGUUUAAAGGGUGCGUAGGCGGCGCUUCAGGUCAGCGGUGAAAUACCGGGGCUCAACCCCGGGGCUGCCGUUGAAACCGGAGCG
rnacentral:rRNA from 1 species